UACGUAGGGUGCGAGCGUUGUCCGGAUUUAUUGGGCGUAAAGAGCUUGUAGGCGGCUCGUCACGUCGGGUGUGAAAACUCGCGGCUCAACCGCGAGCCUGCACCCGAUACGGGCGGGCUGGAGUUCGGCAGGGGAGACUGGAAUUCCUGGUGUAGCGGUGGAAUGCGCAGAUACUCAGGAGGAACACCGGUGGCGAAGGCGGGUCUCUGGGCCGAUACUGACGCUGAGAAGCGAAAGCGUGGGGAGCGAACAGG
rnacentral:rRNA from 1 species